GGGGUCGACUGGUUUUGACAGCGAGAUUAAUGAAAUAGUAAGCACGUCGUGUAAUGGUCUUGAAACACGUAAAAGGCUAAACCAACUUUUAAACGGCGAAAAUAAUUACGCUUUAGCUGCUUAAUCUGAAUUAUAGUAAGAUGAGCCUCGUCCUACAAGGUAGGAAAGCUUUAUGUCUCAAGACAGCCUUGGUUAAUGGCGUUCUAUCAGUAGACAUCGUAAAAAUUAACUUAGAUUGUGUAAUGCUUUGGUGCACCCUCGAGAUUAAAAAGAUAAGUUACAGAUAGAGUGUUUUUAAUCAGUCUGUAAUCGAAAAUCAUGAAAAAACUAAGCGUGUAGAAAGCUCUUUAAUUACUUGUUUGGACGAGGGUUCGAUUCCCUCCGACUCCACU
rnacentral:tmRNA from 1 species